CCUACGGGUGGCAGCAGUGAGGAAUAUUGGUCAAUGGGCGCGAGCCUGAACCAGCCAAGUAGCGUGAAGGAUGACUGCCCUACGGGUUGUAAACUUCUUUUAUAAAGGAAUAAAGUGAGGCACGUGUGCCUUUUUGUAUGUACUUUAUGAAUAAGGAUCGGCUAACUCCGUGCCAGCCGCCGCGGUAAUACGGAGGAUCCGAGGUUUAUCCGGAUUUAUUGGGUUUAUAGGGAGCGUAGAGGGGUUGUUAAGUCAGUUGUGAACGUUUUCGGCGCAACCGUAAAAGUGCAAUUGAUACUGGCAGUCUUGAGUACAGUUGAGGGAGGGGGAAUGCGUGGUGUAGCGGUGAAAUGCUUAGAUAUCACGAAGAACUCCGAUUGCGAAGGCAGCUUACUAAACUGCCACUGACAUUGAUGCUCGAAAGUGUGGGUAUCAAACAGGAUUAGAUACCCAAGUAGUC
rnacentral:rRNA from 1 species